rnacentral:tRNA from 1 species
AGGGGUUUAGGUUAACACUAGACCACGGGCCUUCAAAGCCCUAAGCGGGGGUGAAAAUCCUCCAACUCCUG